UAGGGAAUGUGACAGGGGCUGCCUCCCCAAAGGUCCCUCCUUACAGGCAAGCCCGAGCACGUUUCCUCCAGGAGCUGAUGGCAUCACGUGGUAUAAGAGGCUGGCCUAGAUUUGUUGUUGCCAAAGGCUUUCCCAGGGGGGUCCUCGGCUAUUGAGCUCUUCUGUCCCACUGAUCUCCUUCUCUAAUUUUUAACCAGUAACAAAUAGUCUUGAGGAUUAUGGUUUCCCAAUAUGAUGGGAGGUCUAAAAGUGCUAUUCCCUCCUUAUCUCUACUCCCCUUCCCGCCUUGUUGCUCUCAAAUUCAUAAAUCUUCUGUUCCUCUAGUUGGAGGAAAGUGGAGAGAAGCCUCUUUCACAGUUCUGACUAAGGGAAAUGUUCUCAACCAAAUAAGGAACAAAGAUGGUCCCAAGAGAUAAAAAAGGUUAUUUAAGAUUCACAAAAUCCAAAAGUUUUAAAUAAACAAAAUCAAUGCAGCUAGCUAAGAACAAAGGGGAAAUCUUUACAAUGAACAGCUCUUGCUGAAGGCUUGAUAAAAUAUAGAGUGAACACCCAGCCCUCUCUUAUAUGUUUAUAUUAUUCAUGUAUAUACACAACACAUCUUAGAUAUAUUAUAUAUGCAUAUAUUAUUAUAUAUGUACGGCUAUAUCUCAAGGACCAGGCCUCCAUGAAUAUAUCAUCAAAGGACACAAAAUUCUCAAAGGAAAAUGACAAAUUAUUGACCGUAUGAGAGGUUAAGUCAUUAAUAGCAGACGUGGAAGCUACAGAAGCUCUGUGGUUUUAACUCAUACCCAUUAAACUAGCAAAGGUAAUAAAAGGAAGAAAUAGUGCUAGGGAUCUGUGGGAAACUAGGCACAGUAAUGCAUUGUUGAUGGAGGUGCGAAUUGGUCCAAUCGUCCCGGAAACCAAUUUAGAAUAAACAAUUUAAGCCAGCCAAAUGCUUUUAAAAAAUGACUAAAAUGUCCCUGCCUUCUGACUCAGAAAUUCCACCGCUUGGCCCUGCUGACCCUGAGGACGUCAGAGAGAGCCCUCUCCCUCCCUUCCCCCCAAAAAAAUGUUCACCAAAGAGGGGACUUGGAACCAAUCAAAGGAGAUGCCCAUCAAUUGGGGAACAAAUCGUGGUCAAUGCACAUAAUGAAAUAAAAGGAAGAAUUCAUAGGAUCACCCGGGCUUAUGGGUACAGAGGCAGAGUGAGAUGGGCAGAGCCAGGAAAGCAGAGAUGGUAACAAAGGAGGAGAACACGGGACCAGAUGCGGUUCAAUCGGUGACCAAGCUUGGCCCUCUUUCCCUGCAGCCGUGGCUGGCUGGGGCCGGGCACCUGAGACACACCGGCACUGCCAGCCUUGGCCCUGGGCCUUCAGAGACGAGGAUGACUCCGGUCUAGCUGCCUGCUGGGGCCUGGAGCUGUCAUUGGCUAAGCAGGUUACUGGGCCCGGCACCUGAUCUGAUCUUUAGGAACAAAGGGAGGAGACCGAGAGGCAGCUGGGACUCGGGAGCUUCCGAGGCAGGAGGGGAGAGCGGCACUUGAGGUCGGCCCCUUUACAGGUUCCGCCGGCUCUGGAGAGGACGGAAGGCAGGGGGAUCAUGGGAGGCCGCGGUAACGAUGCAGGUGAGAGGUGAUGAGGGACGGAGGAGGAUCCAGCUCUUCUCAGCAAGCUCCAAGACGACCGAAGGACUCCUGAUGGAAGAUGCUCUCCACAAGCGGGGAAGAGCUGCCAGUCUGAAUGAAGAUCCAAGCAGAUCGUCGUCCCCCCCUUGUUUUUCCCCUUUGUUCUGUUUUUUCUUUCACAACAUGACUAAUGUGGAAACAUGUUUUCCAUGAUUGCA